GCUGGCGGCGUGCUUAACACAUGCAAGUCGAACGAUGAAGCUGGAGCUUGCUCCAGUGGAUUAGUGGCGAACGGGUGAGUAACACGUGAGCAAUCUGCCCUUGACUCUGGGAUAACUGCGGGAAACUGUAGCUAAUACCGGAUACGACACCUUGGGGCAUCCCGAGGUGUGGAAAGAAUUUCGGUCAAGGAUGAGCUCGCGGCCUAUCAGCUAGUUGGUGAGGUGAUGGCUCACCAAGGCGACGACGGGUAGCCGGCCUGAGAGGGUGACCGGCCACACUGGAACUGAGAUACGGUCCAGACUCCUACGGGAGGCAGCAGUGGGGAAUAUUGCACAAUGGGCGCAAGCCUGAUCCAGCCAUGCCGCGUGAGUGAAGAAGGCCUUCGGGUUGUAAAGCUCUUUCAGACGGAAAGAAAUCGGUGCGUUUAAUACAUGCACUGGAUGACGGUACCGUAAGAAGAAGCACCGGCUAACUACGUG
rnacentral:rRNA from 1 species